rnacentral:rRNA from 1 species
GAUUAAGCAUAUAAUUAAGCGGAGGAAAAGAAACUAACUAGGAUUCCCUCAGUAACGGCGAGUGAAGCGGGACUAGCUCAGGAUGUGAAUCUGCGCUUUUAUGGCGCCGAAUUGUGGUCUGUAGACUUUGACAUUAUCUGCCGGGCCAAGUUCCUUGGAAAAGGACAGCUGAGAGGGUGAGACUCCCGUCCGCCUGGUGGAGUGAGUCAUUUGUCAACGAGUCGAGUUGUUUGGGAUUGCAGCUCUAAUUUGGUGGUAAAUUCCAUCUAAAGCUAAAUAUUGGUGGGAGACCGAUAGCGUACAAGUACCGUGAGGGAAAGAUGCAAAGAACUUUGAAAAGAGAGUUAAAGAGUACCUGAAACUGCUGAAACGGAAGCGAAGGAAACCAGUGUUUGUUGGUUCAUAUUUCCCCGGCCACUUGUGGCUUGGGCGCUGUGAGCUUUCGUGAGUUUGGGUUGGUUGAUCCCUUUGGAAGAGCGCAGUCAGAGUUGAUGUCUGUUGCUAGCACUGGGUUUGACUGAC